rnacentral:rRNA from 1 species
AUUGAACGCUGGCGGAAUGCUUUACACAUGCAAGUCGAACGGCAGCACGGGGCAACCUGGUGGCGAGUGGCGAACGGGUGAGUAAUACAUCGGAACGUGCCCAAUCGUGGGGGAUAACGUAGCGAAAGUUACGCUAAUACCGCAUACGAUCUACGGAUGAAAGCGGGGAUCGCAAGACCUCGCGCGAAUGGAGCGGCCGAUGUCAGAUUAGGUAGUUGUGGGGUAAAGGCUCACCAAGCCGACGAUCUGUAGCUGGUCUGAGAGGACGACCAGCCACACUGGGACUGAGACACGGCCCAGACUCCUACGGGAGGCAGCAGU